rnacentral:pre_miRNA from 1 species
AAUAUUUGACGUCGUUGACUUUUUUAUACAUGUUUGACCGCUUGUCUUAUUCAAAAAAUUUACGUAAUUAUUAAUUCUUUUUCUAUCACUUGAUUCAUCGUUAAACAUACUUUUAAGCACAUAUAUAACUUUACAUAUUUCAAAAAAAUUUAAAUAAGACGAGCGGUCAAACUUGUGUCAAAAAGUCAACGGCGUCAAAUAUU